rnacentral:lncRNA from 1 species
UGGCCAUGGAGGUUUCUGGCUGGAAAAGUAAAACCCUAAGGACCCUAUGACAAUGGCAUCUCAUUGUGGUUUUGAUUUGCAUUUCUCUGAUGAUUAGUGAUGUGGAGCAUUUUUUAUAUGUUCUCUGACUCCUUGUAUGUUUUCCUUUGAGAAUGUUUGUUCAUAUUCUUUGCCCAUUUUUUAAUGGGGUAAAUUGAUUUUUGCUUGGUGAUUUUUUUAAGUUUCUUAUAGAUUCUAAAUAUUAGCAAAGUCUAACUUUUGAUUGGUAGAAAAACCAAGAAGCUGCGCUGAAACCAGGGAUUUUAGUAGUUAGCCAUCCAAAGCAAAUAACAGUAAAUCCUGUUCAAAAGUCUGAGGAAUCACUGAGAAUUUGCAUAUUAUGGACGGAGUUUCGCUCUUGUUGACCAGGCUGGACUGCAAUGGCGUGAUCUCAGCUCACUGCAACCGCCGCUUCCCAGAUUCAAGCGAUUCUCCUGCCUCAGCCUCCAGAGUAGAUGGGAUUACAUGCACGCGCCACCACACCUGGCUAAUUUUUUUUUGUAGAGACUGGGUUUCUCCAUGUCUAAUUUUUAGUAGAGACUGGGUUUCUCCAUGUUGGUCAGGCUGGUCUCGAGCUCUCAACCUCAGGUGAUCCGCCAGACUUGGCCUCCCAAAGUGCUGGGAUUACAGACGUGAGCCACUGUGUCUGGCCGAGAAACAAUAUUUUAAUCAGGAUAACAUCCUUUCGUUUAAACAGAUUUAUUUAAAUUACAUGACAUUGAUUUCCUGCUUAGCAACUGAUCAAAUUUUAUAAUUCAAAUUAUAUAUUAUGUAAAUUUACAUUAUACCCAGCAAGUUGAAAACUAGGAUGUUACCUCAAUGUUUUAGCUAUUAUUUUGUCUUCAAUGACUUUUCUUUCAAGGCAUAUCAAAGGGUACUAUCUGAAUAAGACAGAGCAUAUCUCUGUAUUAUUUUCUAAAUGUCAGCUGUGUUAUAUUUGAGAUGUCACCUGCUGCUGCUAUGGAGUUUCUUUUUAACCAUGAACCCUCAUUUCUUAUACAUCUCAUACACUUAUAGCAUUAAGGUAAGUACUGAGUAAGAAUCAUUCAAAAUAUGAUGGGCAUCAGGCAAGAGUUAUCAAAUGCUUGAAAAUCCAUUUUCAUAAAAUGAUGCCAAUCAUUGUCAAAAAUGAUUGCAUUAAAAUAACAAGUGAAGGUUUGCCAUAAGUUUGUACAGGAAGUAAAUUUCAAUGGUUUUAUCUUUGAUUUCAAAAUAUUAUAUUCCAUGGUUUAUCUUAAAUUAUUAGAAAUAUUUUUUAAUCCCAAACUGGUAUUGUCUACCCUGUGCAUAUAAAAUUAAAAUAGGAGAAAACAAAAGUGAAGUUUUUUUUUUUAAUUACCAAACAAACUCACUAUUUCACAAUCAAAGUCAUACAUUUUGGGACAUGAAUUGCACAGUGUUAAUUCACGCUCAGGUGCAUUGAUGGCUCAGAGCCUUCAGCCUCAUGCUCAGCAGCACACUAGGUGUGAAAUAUUACGACACAAUUCACAACCUGUCAUGUCUUAUGGCUUAAUUAGGGAUGUUUAUGAUCUUGUUAUUCAUACUGUAUCAGUAACAGAUGACUAAAAAAAGAGACAAGGGACAAUUACAUGCAGAAUAGCGUCAUCAUCAUCACAUAAACUGAGAGCUUGAACUGUGGCUUAAUUCAGUCUGAAAUGGUAACUGAAAAAAUAAUGAAAAUAAGUAUCAAAGGAGAGUAACACAGCACAAAUCCAGCAUCCAAUAAUGGGAUCCAAGAAUAUACGUAUAUAUUGCUUCACAGUUCAUUUCCUGGGCACUGCAUUUGUAGGUAUUUAUUUAGGUUGGAAAAAGAUUAGAUUAAAUCCCGCAAAAAAAGUCUAUAUGUUGUUGUAAGGAGAAAAUCAUUGUUACAUCAACACAUUAGAGGAUUAUAAACUCAAUACAUAUACUUACAAAUUUUUUUAUUAUCUUCUCUGAUUAUACUAAUAAAUCUAUACUUAAUAUUAUGUACAUAACAUCAAGAUCAUCUAAUUCUAAUAAUUUGUUAUCAUAAUUAUCUAGGUCAGACAUUUAAUAUUAGCAUUAAUAUUCAUUAAUAUUAGUGAUAGUAAUUCAUUUUAGCACAUAAACAUAUAUUUUUAAAGUAUUGUCGAUCCAUUUUCUACUCUGCAUGACAAGUCAUCACAAAUUUAGGGACUUAAAACAACACAUGUCAUUAUCUCACAGUUUCUAUGAUCAGAGGUCUAGGCACAACUUGGUUGUGUCUUCUGCUAAAAGUAUCCUGAGGCAGCAAUCAAUGUAUCUGCUAGACUGCGUUUUCAUCCGGGGUCUCAACUAGAGAAAAUUUCAUUGUUAUGUUAACUCAGAUUGUUGCAAAAUGUCAUUUUUUUGAGUCUACAUUACCAAGAUCCCAGCCAUUUAUUGGAUUUUGGCUGGAUGUGACUCUCAGCCUUUAAAGGAGUUCCAAGUACACACUCUAUAGGCAGUUUAUAACGGGGUCUUCACUUCCUCAAGGCUAGCAGAAGUUCUCAU